rnacentral:rRNA from 1 species
GUAGUUAGCCGGGGCUUUCUUACAGGGUACCGUCACUUCUUCGUCCCCUGCGACAGAGGUUUACAAUCCGAAAACCUUCUUCCCUCACGCGGCGUUGCUGGGUCAGGCUUGCGCCCAUUGCCCAAUAUUCCCCACUGCUGCCUCCCGUAGGAGUCUGGACCGUGUCUCAGUUCCAGUGUGGCCGAUCAGCCUCUCAGCUCGGCUACCCAUCGUCGGCUUGGUGGGCUGUUAUCUCACCAACUACCUAAUGGGACGCGAACCCCUCUAAAAGCGAUAAAUCUUUGACCUCUUCCCGAUGCCGGGUUGUGGUCUUAUGCGGUAUUAGCAGUUGUUUCCACCUGUUAUUCCCCACUCUUAGGCAGGUUGUUCACGCGUUACUCACCCGUGCGCCACUAGAAUUAUCAAUUCCAUCCGAAAACUUCCUUAAUAAUCCCCGUUCGACUUGCAUGUGUUAGGCACGCCGCCAGCGUUCGUCCUGAGCCAUAAUCAAACUCUGA